rnacentral:snoRNA from 14 species
AAGCUACACUCUGUGUCAGAAGUCCAUCAGGACAAUGAUCUGGCUCAAUUUGAGCAUUGCUACAAAAACACCCAGUCUCACCUGAUUCAGCAUUUUUCCUCCUGUGACUUCUGUUGAAAUGUGGACUGGAAUAUU